rfam:Lachnoclostridium sp. An298 An298_contig_19, whole genome shotgun sequence.
AGAAAAUACUCAGGAGAGUCUCUUUUACGGAUUGAUUCCGGUCAUUUGUGCCGGACAAACUGCAGAAGAGCGCCGAAGGUGUAAGCGUUGAUGCCGGAUGAUCCCGAUCGGGGAUCCGGGAGAGAAACGUGAGUCUCUCAGGCAAAAGGAUGGAGGUAUAAAG